UGCAGUCGAGCGGAUGAGGAAGCUUGCGCCUGUGUUUCCUGACCGGACGGGUGAGAAGGCCUAUGAAUGUGACUGUGCCUGAUGGACAACGAUUCUAAGGAAAGCUAAUACCACAUACGUCCUACGUCAGAAGACCAGGGACCUUCACCUCUUGCCCUCUUGCAUGAGCCUGUGCCCGAUUAGCUAUAUGUAGGGGUAAUGGCUCACCCUCGCCACGAUCCCUAUCUGUACUGAGAGGAUGAUCAGGCACACUGGAACUGAAACUGGGACCAGACUCCUACUCCAGGCAGCAGCGGGGAAUAUUGAUAUUGGGGCGAAAGCCUGAUCCAGACGUGCCCCGUGUGUGAGUAAGGUCUUCGGAUUGUAAAUGACUUUAACUUGGGAGGAAGGGGAUUAAACUAAUACUUUGCCUUUUGACGUUACCGACAGAAUAAGAACCGGCUAACUCUGUGCCCGCACCCGCGGUAAUACAAAGGGUGCAAGCGUUAAUCGGAAUUACUGGACUGAAAGCGCGCGUAACUGGUUUGUUAAGUUGGAUGUGAUGUCCCCGCCCUCAACCUCGGCAUGUGCAUCCAAUACUGAUACUGCUAAACUAGAGUCUAGGAUGGUGGAAUUUCCUGCGUAGCGUAGAGAUGCGUAGAUAUAGAGAUCGAACACCAGUAGCCGAAGGGCGACCACCUGCCCCUGAUACUAGACACCUGACGGCUGCAGAAAGCCGAUGGGCGAGCAGACGACGGAUCUAGAUAUACCAUG
rnacentral:rRNA from 1 species